rnacentral:lncRNA from 1 species
GCGCCUGGGAGGGACUCUGGACGCCCAGCUUACCUUCUCUGGGACUUUUCAGGGGUUCGGGGCGGGUUUCCUGGGAUUCCCAAAGCCGAAGGGAAGGUGGGGGAAUCCGAGUCCUCUUGUAACCACUCUCCCUAAAUGUGGAGUCCACUGGCCUUCCAGCCACCUCCAGGUGACCUAGGGCGAAGGAUAGGCGGCGGGGAUGGCCCCGAAACCGACCUAGGAAUCCCACCACGUUCUAGUCCAGUGUCCUUGAGUUCUUUCCCGAGUUAACCAACGUAUCACCCCAGAGUUCUAUAGCUGUUCUUUCGGAUGCCUUCCAGAAGGGAUUCAGGCAUGGGAUGGGAGAGAAGGGUGGGCGAGGCGUCCUUUAAGAAGACAGCGAUGGAGUGGGUUGGAGCUCAAGAGUGGACGCUGCAGAAAUGAAAAGGAGGCCUUUCCUCAUCCAACGACAACGGAGUCCCGCUCUGUCUCCCAGGCUGGAGUGCAGUGUGGCGCGAUCUCGGCUCACUACAACCUCCGCCUCCCAGGUUCAAGCGAUUCUCCUGCCUCAGCCUCAUGAGUAGCUGGAACUACAGGUGCCCUCCACCACGCCCGGCUAAUUUUUGUAUUUUUAGUAAAGACGGGGUUUCACCAUGUUGGCCAGGAUGGUCUCGAUCUCCUAACCUCGUGAUCCACCCGCCUCAGCCUCCCAAAGUGCUGGGAUUACAGACGUGAGCCACCCGCCGGGCCUGAUCUGGGAAUUUUGUAGGGCUUAUAUUUAUUUGUGUAUUUGUGAUUCUCCUGAGGUCCGGGAAAUAUGUAGGCGGAGGAUUACCUAGGUGCCCAGGCAAGAGACUGAAGGCACAAACUGUUUCAGUAUAAUAAACAAAAUAGUUAGAAUAAGAAUAGUCAUAAUACAAAUUAGAUGUAGAGAUGAUCAUGGACAAUUAUCAAUCAUUAUUAUAAACAUUAUUAAUCAUUAGCUUUUAAUAUUACUCUUUGCUGCAUUACUAAUGUAAGCUAGGAAUAACCGGCAGGUAUAGGGUCAGGUGCUGAAGGGACAUGGUGAGAAGUGACCUAGAAGGCAAGAGGUGAGCCCUCUGUCACGCGCACAUCAGGGCCGCUUGAGGGGUCCUUGGUCAAGUGGUAACGCCAGUGUCUGGGAAGGCACCCGUUACUUAGCAGACCACGAAAGGGAGUCUCCUUUCCUUGGAGGAGUCAGGGAACACUCUGCUCCACCAGCUUCUUGUGGAAGGCUGGAUAUUAUCCAGGCCUGCCCGCAGUCAUCCCGAGGCCUAAACCCCUCCCUGUGGUGCUGUGCUUCAAUGCUUACACUCCUCCUUCACUUUCAUUCUCCUCCCAUACUCCUGGUUCCUCUUUGAAGUUCAUAGUAGAUAGCGGUAGAAGAAAUAGUGAAAGUCUUAAAGUCUUUGAUCUUAGAAGUGCAUAGAAGAAAACACUGACGUAUGCUGCCUUCUGUCUCUGCUUCGGCUACCUAAGAGGGAAGGGCACCCUGUCCCGUGAUCACGUGACUUGCUUCACCUUGUCAAUCACUUCGAAGAUUCACCCUCUUUACUCUGCCCCCUUGUCUUGUAUGCAAUAAAUAUCAGCGAGCCCAGCCGUUAUGGGCCACUACCGGUCUCUGCGUCUUGAUGAUAGUGGUCCCCUGGGCCCAGCUGCUUUCUCUUUAUUUUUGUCUUGUGCCUUUAUUUAUUACAAUCUCUCAUCUCUGCACAUGGGGAGAACACCUGCUAAGCCCCAUAGGGUUGGAGCCUACAGAAAUGGACAAGAUGGCCUUCUGUGGGACAGAGAUUGGUUGCAGUAGCUCAUUUGAUCUUUAUGAAGGUCUUCUGUUGACCAGGUAUAUUCAGAGGCUUAGAUUGGAGGGUAAGGAGGGAGCUGAUAGUGGGAAUGGAGGCGGGAUCAGAUCAUGAAGGCCAGACCCAGGGGCUUUGAUAGUGCCUAUAGGCAAUGGGCUACGGAAGGACUUCAGCAGGGAAGGGCAGGAUCAGAUCUGCAUGAUGAAAGAAUCCCUCUGGAGCCAGGGUGGGAUGGAGGAGAAGGAGGCUGGGGCAAUAGCUCAGGUGAAACAAAAUGGAACUUGAGCUGGACCAGGAACCUGGAGAAGAGGGCGGUAGAAAUGGUAUUUAGGGGGAAGAAUAGACAGUGUUUGAUGAGGGACUGACUUGAGUAGACGGGGGGAAGGUACCACCAUGUGCUUGGGUUCUCAGCUCUGAGAGGCUAUUACUGAAAUGGGGGGACCUGGGAGGACGAGGUGACUGGGGAGGAAAGCUCCUUCACUCAAAUUAGGACGUUGUAUUUGUGAGGUGCUCAGGGGACAGACUCCAAG